AAGUGUGUAAUAAGUACUGCUAAUACUUAAAACCAGUAAUA
rnacentral:tRNA from 1 species